AGAAACGGGAAAUUGCGGUACUGCUUUUAUGCAGUAUUGAGGAAAGUCCAGACUGCCACGACCUGUGAUGGUCGUAAUGUUCGUGCCCAUCGCAAGAUGGGGCAGAGCUAAACUCUGACGACGACGAAAUCGACUCACGUAGCCGAAAGUAGUUAUAAAGUGCACAGAAAUGAGUAGGUUGGCGACAACCUAGUGAAAAAAGGUAAACUCCACGAGGCAGAAACCCAAAUUUGGUAGGGGAGCUUCCUUAAGGGAAAUGAACCAAAAGGAAGAACGCUAUUAUAGUGUUAGAUAGAUAAUUUCCUAAAACAGAAACUGGCUUACGGUU
rnacentral:RNase_P_RNA from 2 species